AUUGAAUGCUGGCGGCAGGCCUAACACAUGCAAGUCGAGCGGAUGAAGGGAGCUUGCUCCUGGAUUCAGCGGCGGACGGGUGAGUAAUGCCUAGGAAUCUGCCUGGUAGUGGGGGAUAACGUCCGGAAACGGGCGCUAAUACCGCAUACGUCCUGAGGGAGAAAGUGGGGGAUCUUCGGACCUCACGCUAUCAGAUGAGCCUAGGUCGGAUUAGCUAGUUGGUGGGGUAAAGGCCUACCAAGGCGACGAUCCGUAACUGGUCUGAGAGGAUGAUCAGUCACACUGGAACUGAGACACGGUCCAGACUCCUACGGGAGGCCGCAGUGGGGAAUAUUGCACGAUGGGCGAAAGCCUGAUCCAGCCAUGCCGCGUGUGUGAAGAAGGUCUUCGGAUUGUAAAGCACUUUAAGUUGGGAGGAAGGGCAGUAAGUUAAUCCCUUGCUGUUUUGACGUUACCAACAGAAUAAGCACCGGCUAACUUCGUG
rnacentral:rRNA from 1 species